ensembl:lncRNA
GUAUGUAUGUAUUUAGGUAUACAGGUAUGUAUUUAUGUAUGUUAUACAUUUAUGCAUAGAUCCUGUCUUCUGUUUAUGUCCUUUACUGUCUUGUUUUGUUGUGUUUUUGGUUUGCUAUGGUUAUUUGUAUGUUCAUGUUGGGGCUAAUUUACACUACAAUAAACAUGCACACACCUAGGACAUAUAACUCAAUCCAGACUGGUGUCAAUCUUCAUAUUGGUACACAAAGAGUCGGUUUAACUCAGGAGGUAGAGCGGAUUGACUUGUAACCAGACGGUUGUUAGCUGUGAUCCCCGACUCCUCCUAGAGCAGCGAGGUGUCCCUGAGAAAGAGACUUACCCUGACCCUCCUGACCACUCCCGUGGGCUGGAUGGUGGCUUGCAUGGUUGACUCUAUCGUGAAUGUAGGUAUGAACCGUGAUAACAAACGCCCAGUGCGCCGUGGACGCCAUUCCUGAUCGCACUUCCAUUCCAACUGACAGAUUCCGGGAUGAUUUUCCUUUUUCCAUUAAAGGAACGCAAACUAGCGUACAUGGACAUAGAGUAAAUUGCAUUGGAUGCUAUCAUCAAUCUCUACCUGCUGCCAAGAUGUCUUCUAAGCUGACCGGAGCUGGCCUCUGGUAGUGGGCUGGCUGGGUGUGUGUGUAUCUCAGUCACACAGGUCCCUUUAAAGAGGCUUGUACGUGUGACAGGCCAUGAAAGACCUUGAUAAGUCCCAGGUUUCCCCCCCGCAACCAACUCCUGUCUGGACUCAGAAGCCAGAAAUUGUUACACGAGAUUCACGGAAGUUUUGAAAGGUGUUUCACCCUUUGGCUUCUUCUUUUGAAUUUUUGACAUUGGCUAUUUUAUUGUUGGUAUGUAGGUUGAAAGUAUGUAUUUCCUCUUAAAUUAAGAAAAUAUGUGUGAAAGUAGUGCUGCAUGUAGUUGUCUAGUAGCAUGUGUAAUCAUGUGCAUUUUUUUACUUGAUUUGCUGUUUUGAAUUCAUCCUCACCAUCACCACCAACACCCCCACUAACACCACCACCACCUCCACCACCCCCACUAACACCACCACCUCCACCACCCCCACUAACACCACCACCUCCACCAGCACCUCCACCACCUCCACCACCACCACCACCACCACCACCACCACCACCACCACCUCCACCAGCGCCUCCACCACCUUCACCACCACAACCACCAACUCCACCCCCACCUCGCCAGCACCACCACCAGCACUACCACCUCCACCACCACCAGAAGCACCACCAUCGUCAACACCACCUGCAACACCAUCUCCACCACCACCUCCACCACCACCGCCACCAUCACCACCGUCACCACCG